rnacentral:lncRNA from 1 species
AUCGGGUCUCAGGUCCGCCGAGGCCGCGGGUGAUCGCGAGCCUUCUUGAUGUGGGUCGACGCCCCUUGAAGAUGCCGCUUCUUGCUGCUUCGAGGUUGUAGAGCGGGUGUUCACCAUCUUCCAAGGCCAAGGAUUGAACCUGGCUCUGAUACCAAAUUGAUGCGAUCCGAUAGAAUUUGAUCCGUAUCCCAAGAUUCUUGACUCUUCUUGAUUUCUGGAAGGGUAGUUUCGACCUGAUUGCAGACACGAUUUCUAAAGAUCAGUCCGUCAGAUCGAU